rnacentral:rRNA from 1 species
CCCUUAGAUGUCCUGGGCCGCACGCGCGCUACACUGAUGCAUUCAACGAGUUUUACCUUGGCCGAGAGGCCUGGGCAAUCUUUUAAACCUGCAUCGUGAUAGGGAUAGAUUAUUGCAAUUAUUAAUCUUGAACGAGGAAUUCCUAGUAAACGCAGAUCAUCAAUCUGCAUUGAUUACGUCCCUGCCCUUUGUACACUCCGCCCGUCGCACCUACCGAUUGAAUGGUCCGGUGAAGCCUCGGGAUUGUGGCCAGUUCACUUUAUUGGGAGUUGGCUGCGAGAACUUGUCUAAACCUUAUCAUUUAGAGGAAGGUGAAGUCGUAACA